GUGCUCACUUGGGCAGCACAUACACUAAAAUUGGAAUAAUACAGCAAAGACUAGCAUGGCCCCUGUUCAAGGAUGACACUCAAAUUGGUGCAGCGUCCCAUAUUUUU